UGACAGCAAUGCAUAUCUGGUUUCUCACCAUUAACUCAAAACAGUCAGAGGUGACAAGUCUGUAUGACAAAGCAAGAGAAAGAGACAGAGGUUGGAGUGCAGAAGAAAAGUACCAAGCUGAUGUCAAAUCACAAACUUCCAUCAGGAAAACAACAGCCAAGCAACAAUCAACAUUCUAACAAGCUUUAUUUGGUUAUAAAAUUCUUCAGGGAAAAUUCUAGAACUUCAGGAAUAUAACACCUUAAUGAGGCCUACUAGGUAGUGGUAUAUCAAAAUAUUGCUCUCCCUUCUUAUGCUUCUACUUAACUUUCUACACAUUUUGGCAAUGGUAGCUCAUGAAAGAAAACUGAGAGAUGGUUCAAGAGUUUCUUUAUGAGGCUGAGGUCCCUGGGCCCUGCAGAAGGACAGAUGUAAGAAAACUUGGCAAAGUUCACAGCUGCUCCAUGGCCACACAUUGAUGAAUGUAUCCCAUGUCCUUGGCUUCCUUACAUAGCAAUGCUACUGGCUGCCAAAGAAACAAAGUGAAGGGGAAUAAGAGACAGAAGGAAAUAGCCAAAUGGGAGCAGAGCUAAGGUAACCAAAUAAACAUCUCUCUUUACUGCCAAGAUACUAAAAACAUAACCCCAGCCAGCUUUGUUAGUUACCACCUUAGCCACAUGGCUACAUAUUUGAUGGAAACAGAGAUCCAACAAUGGAAAAAUAAAAGCAUUUCCCCACCAAAUGAGUAGCUGGAAAUGCAUUUGAAGAAUGGCAUUGGGAUGUUCCAGGCUCUCUCCAUGCAACGCUAAUCAAAUUUACCCAGUUCACGUGUUUGGGGGCCAUUUCUCUAACCACAGAUGCUGCCAAUUCCACCUGCAAUCUAAAAACCCAGACUGCGCAUUUGGUUCCUCAGUUCACCACAAUAAUAACUGAAACACCAUUUUUCAUGCCCUACAGAAUGCAAACACAGCUGAAUUGAUCCACUUCAAAUCUUCAUAAACAAUUCAACUGAGGAUGAAAGCAGGAAUCCAGCAGCACAUCAAAAAGCUAAUCCACCACGAAC
rnacentral:lncRNA from 1 species